UACGUAGGGUGCAAGCGUUGUCCGGAAUUAUUGGGCGUAAAGAGUGUGUAGGCGGUGCUCUAAGUUCGGUGUGAAAUCUCCCGGCUUAACUGGGAGGGUGCGCCGGAAACUGGAGUGCUUGAGCGUGGGAGAGGAAAGCGGAAUUCCUGGUGUAGCGGUGAAAUGCGUAGAUAUCAGGAGGAACACCGGUGGUGUAGACGGCUUUCUGGACCAUAGCUGACGCUGAGACACGAAAGCGUGGGUAGCAAACAGG
rnacentral:rRNA from 1 species